rnacentral:rRNA from 1 species
ACUCCUGCGGGAGGCAGCAGUGGGGAAUUUUGGACAAUGGGCGAAAGCCUGAUCCAGCAAUGCCGCGUGAGUGAAGAAGGCCUUCGGGUUGUAAAGCUCUUUUGUCAGGGAAGAAACGGUGAGAGCUAAUAUCUCUUGCUAAUGACGGUACCUGAAGAAUAAGCACCGGCUAACUACGUGCCAGCAGCCGCGGUAAUACGUAGGGUGCAAGCGUUAAUCGGAAUUACUGGGCGUAAAGCGUGCGCAGGCGGUUUUGUAAGUCUGAUGUGAAAUCCCCGGGCUCAACCUGGGAAUUGCAUUGGAGACUGCAAGGCUAGAAUCUGGCAGAGGGGGGUAGAAUUCCACGUGUAGCAGUGAAAUGCGUAGAUAUGUGGAGGAACACCGAUGGCGAAGGCAGCCCCCUGGGUCAAGAUUGACGCUCAUGCACGAAAGCGUGGGGAGCAAACAGGAUUAGAUACCCCAGUAGUCCC